GACGAACGCUGGCGGCGUGCCUAAUACAUGCAAGUCGAGCGGACUUAAGAGGCUUUCUUUUUUCUUUCGCUACGGACGGGUGAGUGACUCGUACGCAGCCUGCCUGUCUGACUGAGUUAACUUCGUUAAACCGACGCUAGUACCUACUAAUCCUUUUCUUCUACUGUAGGAUACCUGAAAGACGGUUUACUCUGUCACUUACAGUUGGUCCCGCGGCGCAUUAGCUAGUUGGUGAGGUAACGGCUUACCAAGGCGACGAUGCGUAGCCGACCUGAGAGGGUGAUCGGCCACACUGGGACUGAGACACGGCCCAGACUCCUACGGGAGGCAGCAGUAGGGAAUCUUCCGCAAUGGACGAAAGUCUGACGGAGCAACGCCGCGUGAGUGAUGAAGGUUUUCGGAUCGUAAAACUCUGUUGUUAGGGAAGAACAAGUAUGAAAGUAACUGUGCGCACCUUGACGGUACCUAAUCAGAAAGCCACGGCUAACUACGUG
rnacentral:rRNA from 1 species